UGGGGAAUUUUGGACAAUGGGCGAAAGCCUGAUCCAGCAAUGCCGCGUGCAGGAUGAAGGCCUUCGGGUUGUAAACUGCUUUUGUACGGAACGAAAAAGCUUCUCCUAAUACGAGAGGCCCAUGACGGUACCGUAAGAAUAAGCACCGUCUAACUACGUGCCAGCAGCCGCGGUAAUACGUAGGGUGCGAGCGUUCAUCGGAAUUACUGGGCGUAAAUCGUGCGCAGGCGGUUAUGUAAGCCAGAUGUGAAAUCCCCGGGCUCAACCUGGGAACUGCAUUUGUGACAGCAUGGCUAGAGUACGGUAGAGGGGGAUGGAAUUCCGCGUGUAGCAGUGAAAUGCGUAGAUAUGCGGAGGAACACCGAUGGCGAAGGCAAUCCCCUGGACCUGUACUGACGCUCAUGCACGAAAGCGUGGGGAGCAAACA
rnacentral:rRNA from 1 species